CAGUCUCAGUUCGGAUUGAAGGCUGAAAUUCGCCUUCAUGAAGCCGGAAUUGCUAGUAAUGGCAGGUCAGCAUACUGCCGUGAAUACGUUCCCGGGCCUUGUACACACCGCCCGUCACACCAUGAGAGUUGGGGAUGCCCGAAGCCUGUGAGCUAACUUUUAGAGGCAGCAGUCGAAGGUAGAAUCAAUGAUUGGGGUGAAGUCGUAACAAGGUACC
rnacentral:rRNA from 1 species